rnacentral:rRNA from 1 species
AUUGAACGCUGGCGGCAGGCCUAACACAUGCAAGUCGAGCGGAUGAAGGGAGCUUGCUCCUGGAUUCAGCGGCGGACGGGUGAGUAAUGCCUAGGAAUCUGCCUGGUAGUGGGGGAUAACGUCCGGAAACGGGCGCUAAUACCGCAUACGUCCUGAGGGAGAAAGUGGGGGAUCUUCGGACCUCACGCUAUCAGAUGAGCCUAGGUCGGAUUAGCUAGUUGGUGGGGUAAAGGCCUACCAAGGCGACGAUCCGUAACUGGUCUGAGAGGAUGAUCAGUCACCCUGCGCUCAGGCACCGACCCCGCCUCCACGGGGGUGCUAGAGGGGGUAAAUUGGGACAGUGGCCAAAGCCCUGUCCUCGCCUUGCCGUGUGGGUUAAAAGGGCCUUGGGAUUGUAAAGCCUUUUAAUUUGGGGGAAAGGGAAUAAAUUUAAAACUUGUGUUUUUUACCUUUACCAACAAAAUAAGCACCGGCUAUCUACUC